UUUCAUGAUGAUAUCUCACUUUACUUUUUUUUUUCUGGUACCUCUUAUGUCAGAAGCUGUGCCUCUUCUGGUCCAGCUUCAAUGAUCUUAAUGGACUUCUGAUU
rnacentral:snoRNA from 1 species